rnacentral:rRNA from 1 species
UAAGGGCGCACGGUGGAUGCCUUGGCACUAGAAGCCGAUGAAGGACGUUACUAACGACGAUAUGCUUUGGGGAGCUGUAAGUAAGCUUUGAUCCAGAGAUUUCCGAAUGGGGAAACCCAGCAUGAGUUAUGUCAUGUUAUCGAUAUGUGAAUACAUAGCAUAUCAGAAGGCACACCCGGAGAACUGAAACAUCUUAGUACCCGGAGGAAGAGAAAGAAAAUUCGAUUCCCUUAGUAGCGGCGAGCGAAACGGGAAGAGCCCAAACCAACAAGCUUGCUUGUUGGGGUUGUAGGACACUCUAUACGGAGUUACAAAGGACGACAUUAGACGAAUCAUCUGGAAAGAUGAAUCAAAGAAGGUAAUAAUCCUGUAGUCGAAAAUGUUGUCUCUCUUGAGUGGAUCCUGAGUACGACGGAGCACGUGAAAUUCCGUCGGAAUCUGGGAGGACCAUCUCCUAAGGCUAAAUACUCUCUAGUGACCGAUAGUGAACCAGUACCGUGAGGGAAAGGUGAAAAGCACCCCGGAAGGGGAGUGAAAUAGAACCUGAAACCGUGUGCUUACAAGUAGUCAGAGCCCGUUAAUGGGUGAUGGCGUGCCUUUUGUAGAAUGAACCGGCGAGUUACGAUUUGAUGCAAGGUUAAGCAGUAAAUGUGGAGCCGUAGCGAAAGCGAGUCUGAAUAGGGCGUUUAGUAUUUGGUCGUAGACCCGAAACCAGGUGAUCUACCCUUGGUCAGGUUGAAGUUCAGGUAACACUGAAUGGAGGACCGAACCGACUUACGUUGAAAAGUGAGCGGAUGAACUGAGGGUAGCGGAGAAAUUCCAAUCGAACCUGGAGAUAGCUGGUUCUCUCCGAAAUAGCUUUAGGGCUAGCCUCAAGUGAUGAUUAUUGGAGGUAGAGCACUGUUUGGACGAGGGGCCCCUCUCGGGUUACCGAAUUCAGACAAACUCCGAAUGCCAAUUAAUUUAACUUGGGAGUCAGAACAUGGGUGAUAAGGUCCGUGUUCGAAAGGGAAACAGCCCAGACCACCAGCUAAGGUCCCAAAAUAUAUGUUAAGUGGAAAAGGAUGUGGCGUUGCCCAGACAACUAGGAUGUUGGCUUAGAAGCAGCCAUCAUUUAAAGAGUGCGUAAUAGCUCACUAGUCGAGUGACACUGCGCCGAAAAUGUACCGGGGCUAAACAUAUUACCGAAGCUGUGGAUUGUCCUUUGGACAAUGGUAGGAGAGCGUUCUAAGGGCGUUGAAGCAUGAUCGUAAGGACAUGUGGAGCGCUUAGAAGUGAGAAUGCCGGUGUGAGUAGCGAAAGACGGGUGAGAAUCCCGUCCACCGAUUGACUAAGGUUUCCAGAGGAAGGCUCGUCCGCUCUGGGUUAGUCGGGUCCUAAGCUGAGGCCGACAGGCGUAGGCGAUGGAUAACAGGUUGAUAUUCCUGUACCACCUAUAAUCGUUUUAAUC